rnacentral:rRNA from 1 species
GACGAACGCUGGCGGCGUGCUUAACACAUGCAAGUCGAGCGGUAAGGCCCUUUCGGGGGUACACGAGCGGCGAACGGGUGAGUAACACGUGGGUGACCUGCCCUUAGCUCUGGGAUAAGCCUGGGAAACUGGGUCUAAUACCGGAUAUGACUCCAUGACGCAUGUUGUGGGGUGGAAAGCCUUGUGCGGCUAGGGAUGGGCCCGNGGCCUAUCAGCUUGUUGGUGGGGUGAUGGCCUACCAAGGCGACGACGGGUAGCCGGCCUGAGAGGGCGACCGGCCACACUGGGACUGAGACACGGCCCAGACUCCUACGGGAGGCAGCAGUGGGGAAUCUUGCGCAAUGGGCGAAAGCCUGACGCAGCGACGCCGCGUGAGGGAUGACGGCCUCGGUU